UGGAGAUAUCGUGGCUGCCACGCGAGACGUCAUUGCAUCUCUCCCGACGUUGAAGGGAUUUGAGCGAGUCUUCGUACCCGCUAAAAGAAAAUAGAGGAAAAUUUUGCCACGGGGAGAGGAGAGUAAGAGAAACCCAACUUACUUGCUGCUCUCACCACUAGAAGGGCUGGAGGAGUGACUGCAAUGACAAGAAGCGCGCGCUACGAUACCCGAAUCCUGACCACUGGAAUGCAAGGAUGUCGCAGAUGCCUCGAGGCCUUUCAAGGUCAGACUUACGUGUGAAAGCGGACACAGUUGCCGUGCUCGCAUAUGCUCUGUCGCCUGGGCAUCUCGGAGCAGAAGGGUUCG